GACGAACGCUGGCGGCGUGCUUAACACAUGCAAGUCGAACGGGCCCGCCCCUGUUUUUGGGGGUGGGUUGAGUGGCGAACGGGUGAGUAUCACGUGAGUAACCUGCCCCCUGCUCCUGGAUAACUGCUUGAAAGGGCGGCUAAUGCGGGGUGUGCCGGCUGGUCCGCAUGGGCCUGGUCGGGAUAGUUUCAUCUUCGGGUGUUUCGGUGGGGGAUGGGCUCGCGGCCUAUCAGCUUGUUGGUGGGGUGAUGGCCCACCAAGGCGGUGACGGGUAGCCGGCCUGAGAGGGUGGGCGGCCACACUGGGACUGAGACACGGCCCAGACUCCUGCGGGAGGCAGCAGUGGGGGGUAUUGCACAAUGGGCGGAAGCCUGAUGCAGCGACGUCGCGUGAGGGAUGGAGGCCUUCGGGUUGUGAACCUCUUUCUCCGGUGGUGAAGGCCCUGUCCGUUGCGGCGGGGUUGACGGUAGCCGGGUAUGAAGCGCCGGCUAACUACGUG
rnacentral:rRNA from 1 species